rnacentral:tRNA from 1 species
UGGCUCAGUGGUUGAGCAUCAGCCUAUGAACCAGGAGGUCAGGGUUCGAUUCCCUG